rnacentral:rRNA from 1 species
AGAGUUUGAUCAUGGCUCAGGAUGAACGCUAGCUACAGGCUUAACACAUGCAAGUCGAGGGGCAGCAUUAGGUAGCAAUACUGAGAUGGCGACCGGCGCACGGGUGCGUAACGCGUAUCCAACCUUCCCGUUACUCUUGGAUAGCCUUCCGAAAGGGAGAUUAAUACAAGAUGGUGUUUCAAAUUCGCAUGUAGAUGAAACUAAAGAUUUAUCGGUAACGGAUGGGGAUGCGUUCCAUUAGCUUGUUGGCGGGGUAACGGCCCACCAAGGCAACGAUGGAUAGGGGUUCUGAGAGGAAGGUCCCCCACACUGGAACUGAGACACGGUCCAGACUCCUACGGGAGGCAGCAGUGAGGAAUAUUGGUCAAUGGUCGAGAGACUGAACCAGCCAAGUAGCGUGAAGGAUGAAGGUUCUAUGGAUUGUAAACUUCUUUUAUAAGGGAAUAAAACCACCUACGUGUAGGUGCUUGUAUGUACCUUAUGAAUAAGCAUCGGCUAACUCCGUGCCAGCAGCCGCGGUAAUACGGAGGAUGCGAGCGUUAUCCGGAUUUAUUGGGUUUAAAGGGAGCGUAGACGGGAGAUUAAGUCAGUUGUGAAAGUUUGAGGCCCAACCUUAAAAUUGCAGUUGAUACUGGUUUCCUUGAGUGCGGUUGAGGUGUGUGGAAUUCGUGGUGUAGCGGUGAAAUGCUUAGAUAUCACGAAGAACUCCUAUUGCGAAGGCAGCACACUAAGCCGCUACUGACGUUGAGGCUCGAAAGUGUGGGUAUCAAACAGGAUUAGAUACCCUGGUAGUCCACACGGUAAACGAUGAAUACUCGCUGUUGGCGAUAUACGGUCAGCGGCCAAGCGAAAGCAUUAAGUAUUCCACCUGGGGAGUACGCCGGCAACGGUGAAACUCAAAGGAAUUGACGGGGGCCCGCACAAGCGGAGGAACAUGUGGUUUAAUUCGAUGAUACGCGAGGAACCUUACCCGGGCUUAAAUUGCACUGGACAGGCUCAGAGAUGGGCCCUUCUUCGGACCAGUGUGAAGGUGCUGCAUGGUUGUCGUCAGCUCGUGCCGUGAGGUGUCGGCUUAAGUGCCAUAACGAGCGCAACCCUUGCCUUUAGUUACUAACAGUUUAUGCUGAGGACUCUAAAGGGACUGCCAUCGUAAGAUGUGAGGAAGGUG